UACAGGACCAGGCGGGGGGACAACACAGGGACUGGGAAGGGACAGCCGGGUCUUAAUGGGGGUCCUGGGAAACCUCAGCUGCAUCUGAUGGAAAACUUGUUUCUCUCGGUCCCGCUGCUGUCCUGCACUGGCUCCGGUGCAAACCCCAUCCCGGCCAUGGCUUCAGAUGAGGAGGGAUCAAGCAUCGGGAGCGACCCAGGCAUGGGCAGAUCAAGGGAAAGAAGGCAAGAGGCAAGAGUCAAACCCCAGGCUUUUGGGGUGCCCCCCUGAGCACAGACCCUCAGCCCACCUGGACCCUGUGCUCAGGAUGGCUGGAGCAGAUCUUUGGGAGCACCGUGGGGUGCACGAUGUGGCUCAUCCUCUCUGUACAGGGAAAAAUGAGUUUAUCCCCAGCUUGGAGGCUGUUUGGCUGCUGCAGAGAGUGGAAAGCGCAGUUUCCCUGCCUGGUUGCCGCCUCUGCCCAUCCUUCGGGGUGGCUUUUGGGAAGGACCCUUCAGGGCUUUGUCUCCUGGGACAUUUUAUUUGGAGCAGCAGUGAGGUGCUCUGCUCCGGCUGGCAUUCCUCGGCCUAGCCUCUGCCCUGGGAAGGCCCCAAAACUGGACCCGUUGCAGCAGAAAGAGCUAAAAAUAGCGGUUCUCACGGCGGAUGCAGAAAAGCAUCUGAACAUGCGGCCUCUGAACCUGCCAGCAGCAGAGGACGGGGCCGAACCCCCAGCCCUGUCCCUAGCCCGGCAGACACCCUGUGGCCUCUACGACCCCAAAUUUUCCCCCAGUGACACCCCCCCCCUUUGAAGCCCCGCCGGUGCAACCAAACCCACCACGACCCGCCUUGACACUGGGGCAAUGCCGGGUGCAGGCAGGGGGGCAGCAGGCAGCCCCCGGGUGCAGGCAGCAAGGACGCAAGGGGUUAACCUCCCCGCGCCCGGCGGAUGCAGCAUCCUGGGCUGGGCUCUUUCCAUCUUGUUUUGGUUUGAAGGAAUAAAAGCUUCGGCAGUGGCGUAGCCGCUUCCCAAAAUAA